UCUGGUCCCAGCAGCCGCGGUAAUUCCAGCUCUCAAAGUGUAUAUCGUCAUUGCUGCGGUUAAAAAGCUCGUAGUUGGAUCUGCGCCUCAGGACUUGGUCCGCCCACUGGGCGAGAACUGGGCUCCUGGGCUAGUACUGCUGGUUUUCCCUACGUUGCCUUCAUCGGUCGCGUAGGGUGGCUAGCGAGUUUACUUUGAAAAAAUUAGAGUGCUUAACGCGGGCUUAUGUCUGAAUACUCGUGCAUGGAAUAAUAGAAUAGGAUCUCGGUUCUAUUUUGUUGGUUUUCUGAUCUGAGAUAAUGGUUAAGAGGGACGGACGGGGGCAUUCGUAUCGCUGCGUGAGAGGUGAAAUUCUUGGACCGUAGCGAGACGUCCGACUGCGAAAGCAUUUGCCAAGAAUGUCUUCAUUAAUCAAGAACGAAAGUCAGAGGUUCGAAGGCGAUCAGAUACCGCCCUAGUUCUGACCGUAAACGAUACCAACUAGCGUUCCGUCGGUGGUAAAUACGCCUUGACGGGCAGCUUCCCGGAAACGAAAGUCUUUCGGUUCCGGGGGAAGUAUGGUUGCAAAGCUGAAACUUAAAGAAAUUGACGGAAGGGCACCACCAGGAGUGGAGCCUGCGGCUUAAUU
rnacentral:rRNA from 1 species